UACGCAGGGGGCUAGCGUUGUUCGGAAUCACUGGGCGUAAAGCGCACGUAGGCGGCCUUGUUAGUCAGUGGUGAAAUCCCGGGGCUCAACCCCGGAACUGCCGUUGAAACUGCAAGUCUUGAGUCCGAGAGAGGUGAGUGGAAUUCCUAGUGUAGAGGUGAAAUUCGUAGAUAUUAGGAAGAACACCAGUGGCGAAGGCGGCUCACUGGCGCGGUACUGACGCUGAGGUGCGAAAGCGUGGGGAGCAAACAGG
rnacentral:rRNA from 1 species